CCUUGAAAAAAAGAAGAAGCAUGCAGAUGGGUUGCAGAAGCUUCAAGAGAGAGAAAAGAAAAGAAAAUAAAUAAUGAUUUUUAUUUUCCUUAAAAUAGUUUGAUGGAUGAGGAAAUAAUAAGAAGGUCAGGGAUCAAAUUGGAAAUAACCAUUUCAGUUAAAAACGGCGCCGUUUAACUAUUCAUCUCCUUCUUCAUCCCUCUCAUUCAACGAAAAACCCACCAUCAAUCAUGGUCACGUCUCUACCCCAUAGUGUCCACCAACAGAUGCCAUCCCACGAUUAUUAUCCACGCCAGAGAAAGAACAAACCGGGGGGGGGGGGGGAGAGGAGAACAGUUGAACGAACACAACAUGGCAGAGAACGAAAAGAAAAUAAACCCAGAAAAACGAACAAGACAGAAGAGGACCAGGGGAGCAAAAGACAGAGACGAGCAAAAUAAGAAAGGGGGAGAAAAACGAAAACACAAAGACAAGGGAAACCAGAUAACAACACAGGGGUGAGAGGAACACAGACGCGAAGGAGGGGAGAAAACCCACGAACAGAAAAAUACAAAGAAAAAGACAUUACAGAGAGAGACAGACAGACACAGGAACGAAGAAAAACAAAGACAGAAAGAGAGAACAAGGAAAGACGAAGAGGAAAACAAGACACAGAGGAUAGAGCGUUCGGUCAGCCUGCACACAAUCAUCGGCUUCUUCUCCAGCAGACUAGAUGAAUGCCAAAUUUCAUAAUGUGAUUGGGUAACAGAUCACAUUGUCUUAAAUUGAAGACAACAUGUCAAGAAAAUCCCAGGUCGGCUGAGGAAUUUUAUCAAGAACACAACUGAUAAGUCCACAAAAUCCCAGGAGCGAGUUCCAUCCUUGAAAUGAUGAAAUCUAUUGGCAUCUCUUACCUCUACUUCUCUCCCUCUGACAAUAGAGAAGUGUUUGAAUGCUGCGUGACAAUCUCCAUAGACGCGAAGGUUUUUGAACACCCUAAUGGGUUUUGAACUGGAUGUGCUUAUAAGACGAAGUGCUACAACAAUUUUCUCACUGUGCUGAAGCAAGUAGAAGGGCUACGCAAACAUAUCUGCAGAAAGUGAGGCGUUCUAUAAUCUUUGAGGGUGUGUAAUAUGUGUCCACCUGAAAGCAAGGCAUGUACUAUAAUCUUAUCUUCGUACAUUGAACAA